UUCUUUGGUUCUAGUCUCUUCUCUCAGCAGGGAGUGUCAAGUACUUCUUUAAGGACUUGGCCUCGGGGACUGCACGAAGAGAAGACGAAGAAGAAAGAUGAUGUUCUACAACGGGGAAAGACUGGAGAGGAUUCUCUCACUUCGAUCCCUUUUCAGAUUUUGAGCUGGAAUCCACGGGCAUUAUACUUUCCAAAUUUUGCUAGUGCAGAACAAUGCAAAAGCAUAAUCGAAAUUGCAAG